rnacentral:rRNA from 1 species
CGGGUGAGUAAUGCUUGGGAAUCUAGCUUAUGGAGGGGGAUAACUACGGGAAACUGUAGCUAAUACCGCGUAGUAUCGGAAGAUGAAAGUGUGGGACCUUCGGGCCACAUGCCAUAGGAUGAGCCCAAGUGGGAUUAGGUAGUUGGUGAGGUAAAGGCUCACCAAGCCGACGAUCUCUAGCUGGUCUGAGAGGAUGACCAGCCACACUGGGACUGAGACGCGGCCCAG